GAUAAACGCUGGCGGCGUGCCUAACACAUGCAAGUCGAACGCCCUUCGCAAGAAGGGAGUGGCGGACGGGUGAGGAACACGUGGGUCAUCUACCCAGAGGUGAGGAAUACCGGCGAGAAAUCGCCGACAAUACCGCAUACGUUUCGCAAGAAACAAAGUCGCAAGACGCCUGUGGAUGAGCCUGCGCCCGAUUAGCUGGUUGGUGGGGUAAAAGCCUACCAAGGCAACAAUCGGUAGCUGGUCUGAGAGGACGAUCAGCCACACUGGGAUUGAGAAC
rnacentral:rRNA from 1 species